AGUGAACGCUGGCGGUAGGCCUAACACAUGCAAGUCGAACGGCAGCACAGUAAGAGCUUGCUCUUACGGGUGGCGAGUGGCGGACGGGUGAGGAAUACAUCGGAAUCUACUUUUUCGUGGGGGAUAACGUAGGGAAACUUACGCUAAUACCGCAUACGACCUACGGGUGAAAGCAGGGGAUCUUCGGACCUUGCGCGAUUGAAUGAGCCGAUGUCGGAUUAGCUAGUUGGCGGGGUAAAGGCCAACCAAGGGGACGAUCCGUAGCUGGUCUGAGAGGAUGAUCAGCCACACUGGAACUGGGACACGGUCCAGACUCCUACGGGAGGCAGCAGUGGGGAAUAUUGGACAAUGGGCGCAAGCCUGAUCCAGCCAUACCGCGUGGGUGGAGAAGGCCUUCGGGUUGUAAAGCCCUUUUGUUGGGAAAGAAAAGCAGCAGGUUAAUACCCCGCUGUUCUGACGGUACCCAAAGAAUAAGCACCGGCUAACUUCGUG
rnacentral:rRNA from 1 species